GAAGGAGGUGGGAGUUGACUUUUUGCUUUUUGGUCUUCUGCUCAGGGGCCUAGCAGGGCGUCUGUUAGAGGUGUCCUGCUGGUGUCUGAAACCCACAUAAGCCUGGAGAAAGUUAGAGGAAGAUAUGUGCUACACACACAGAAUCCUUUUGCUGUCUUUGUUUGCUGGUCGAGAAAUAGAGCUGGUUAUUUUAAUUAUUCCAAGAAAGCAUCAGUCAUACUAUAUCAACAAUGAUUUAUAGAACAGAGAUGUUUGCUUUUGGUCUGUUGUAGUAUGCCAUACAGUAAUAUCCACUCCUAUAAGUUAGGCCUUCAUUAGACAUCUCUGCUAAGAGAUUUUCAGGAUGACAGUGCAAAGUCAAGUGACAGACUGAUCACUGUACUUUGAAAAAAAAUUCCUCUGCUAGACUAAUUUUGAGAUGAUAUAUAUGCACUAGAGGGUUACCUUGCUUGUGCUUUUUCCAUGUUAUUCUGAUGCUAGAUAACUCUAGCUACUGCUAGCUUAGCUCAAAUAUUGAUGGCAAGAUCAGUGUGGCAUGAAGAGCAUGUUAUUUCAGAAUCUGCUUCACCUCUAACUUGGACUGAUUGUUUUUAGGUUAAGGAUAAAUUCUACCUAUUCUUCCUCAGUCCUUUUGCUCUGGGAAGUACCAUGUCACAAUGACAACUUUUGUGGAGUGAAUAUGAGCCCUCACUGCAGUAUUGGCUUAAUUAGCUGAUGUUAGGAACCGUGGGGAUGUUUGGCAGUUUCUGGUCCAGGUACCAGUUUCCUUCUGGUAUCUUAAAUCCAGCUCAAAGUUCCUGGAAGAGUACAGUCCCAGCUAGACUGAUGUUGGCUUUUCAGAGAACUGUCAUUUCGCUAGCGCAGUAAGUCAGGGAAAAGAGUCCUGGGCUUUGAUGGAUAACAGACAGAUGAUUUCACACACACAAAUUACUCAUGUAGGCAAGUGAGAAAUCUGGGACCCUCUUUUUGGAGCUAUCUCCACUCUCCUAUCUUUUAAAGAGUAAAUCAUAAGUCAUUCAUCUUCCCCAAAUAAAGAUUUUGGCCAGGCCAGGUGAAUCGUCUAAAUCUUUGCUGAUCUUAGAGACUUUGUGUAAGCCACUUCCUUGCUUCUGUGGCACCCUUGUGUGAUCUGAAGCACAUCUCCCAGAGAAGAUGUUUCCUCUCAGACCAACUUGAGUGUCCACCUGUUGUCCUCUGGGCUCUGUUUUUCAAAUUGCGUAUCUGAACAAAGUCUUCGACUGUGACUCCCUGCAAAGAGAAGCACCCAGGAGUUGCAAAGUUUGAAAAACAUGAAGUGAUGGCAUAUACUUGGAUAUAUCACAGUCCAGAACAGAAAAUCUGUCAUUUGGGAAAAUAUAUAAAUUAGAAGAGGUGAUGACUUGAAGACAUGGAGACUUCUACCUAGAUGCUGAAGACACCUGUGAGCUGGAAACUCACUGAGAAGUGACUAAUCUAGUAUUGCUCCAUCAAGGUUGUCUGAGAUCCUAGUCCACUUGUUGUAUGAAUUGCCACUCAUGUUGGCAGUUCAAGGAAAGAAGCUAAGAGCAGAAUUGGAGUAGACAAAGGCAUCCUUUCAGUCCAAAAUAAUGAUCAACAACUCUUGUAAAUUGCUUCUUACUCAGACAUGGAGAUAACGUGGAGAAGGCUGCCCGUGUCUGACAGUUCUAAGGCAGGGGGAAGUGGAAAUGAGGUUGAAGUAUUUGAUCUCCAACGCUGUUAUCAAAUGUUCCAGCGUCACUACUGGAAUCUUUCAUUUUCCUGUUAUUGUUAUCUGGUCUUUUUGGUUUUAUUUCAUUCUCAAGUAUGAACUAGUAGCUCCAAUACACUUAGCAAAGAUUAUUUAAGGGCAAGUGGAACAUACUAGCUGGCUCUGGUUAGUUUCUUUGUUGGGCCACAGUGUUGAACAGACAUGAUUCAUCAAUGAAGGCAGUGCACUCAGAGUUGUUUGGAAUUCUUUAACUUUCAUGUUUUGAUAUAAUGUUAAAAACUGUCCUCCAGAAAAUCUGCUCUUUUUCAGAACUAGAGAACUUGCAGAGGAGCCUGUGAAAUGGUUAAAGAAAUUUAAGUUCCUUGUAUAAAUUCCAUUACAAUAUUCUAGAGAGAAAAUCUUAAAAAUAACAGGAAAAGAAAUGUAUUGGAUAAUUCACCAAUAAGAAUACGCAAUACUGAGAAAACAACAAAGAUAAAGAGUUCUUUGUUUGUUUGUUUGUUUGUUUGUUUGUUUGUGAGGAUCUGAAUCAUACAGAAAUAGUAAUCUGAGAGCAUUGUUUUCUUUUGACAAAUCUUGGUCAAACUUUACUUUCACAUUAAAACCUUGAUAUC
rnacentral:lncRNA from 1 species